rnacentral:rRNA from 1 species
CCUACGGGAGGCAGCAGUGAGGAAUAUUGGUCAAUGGGCGCGAGCCUGAACCAGCCAAGUAGCGUGAAGGAUGCCUGCCCUACGGGUUGUAAACUUCUUUUAUAAAGGAAUAAAGUGAGGCACGUGUGCCUUUUUGUAUGUACUUUAUGAAUAAGGAUCGGCUAACUCCGUGCCAGCAGCCGCGGUAAUACGGAGGUUCCGAGCGUUAUCCGGAUUUAUUGGGUGUAAAGGGAGCGUAGAUGGGUUGUUAAGUCAGUUGUGAAAGUUUGCGGCUCAACCGUAAAAUUGCAAUUGAUACUGGCAGGCUGGAGUACAGUUGAGGCAGGCGGAAUUCGUGGUGUAGCGGUGAAAUGCUUAGAUAUCACGAAGAACUCCGAUUGCGAAGGCAGCUUACUAAACUGCAACUGACAUUGAUGCUCGAAAGUGUGGGUAUCAAACAGGAUUAGAUACCCUUGUAGUC